rnacentral:misc_RNA from 1 species
GAAAUGCGAUAAGUAAUGUGAAUUGCAGAAUUCAGUGAAUCAUCGAAUCUUUGAACGCACAUUGCGCCCUUUGGUAUUCCGAAGGGCAUGCCUGUUCGAGCGUCAUUAUCAACCAUCAAGCUCUGCUUGGCAUUGGGCUACGUCUCCGUAACUGGAGACCAGCUCCAAAGGUGUCGGCGGUGGCAUAAAGCUUCAAGCGUAGUAAAUUUUACCCAGCUUCAGAGGUCUUUGUGUUGCCCGCUUCCAAAACCCAUCACCUCAAGGUUGACCUCGGAUCAGGUAGGGAUACCCGCUGAACUUAA